AUUGAACGCUGGCGGCAGGCCUAACACAUGCAAGUCGAACGGUAACAGGAAGCAGCUUGCUGCUUCGCUGACGAGUGGCGGACGGGUGAGUAAUGUCUGGGAAACUGCCUGAUGGAGGGGGAUAACUACUGGAAACGGUAGCUAAUACCGCAUAACGUCGCAAGACCAAAGAGGGGGACCUUCGGGCCUCUUGCCAUCGGAUGUGCCCAGAUGGGAUUAGCUAGUAGGUGGGGUAACGGCUCACCUAGGCGACGAUCCCUAGCUGGUCUGAGAGGAUGACCAGCCACACUGGAACUGAGACACGGUCCAGACUCCUACGGGAGGCAGCAGUGGGGAAUAUUGCACAAUGGGCGCAAGCCUGAUGCAGCCAUGCCGCGUGUAUGAAGAAGGCCUUCGGGUUGUAAAGUACUUUCAGCGGGGAGGAAGGCGAUAAGGUUAAUAACCUUGUCGAUUGACGUUACCCGCAGAAGAACACCCUAACUCC
rnacentral:rRNA from 1 species